rnacentral:rRNA from 1 species
GACGAACGCUGGCGGCGUGCUUAACACAUGCAAGUCGAACGAUGAAGCCGGAGCUUGCUCUGGUGAAUUAGUGGCGAACGGGUGAGUAACACGUGAGUAACCUGCCCUUGACUCUGGGAUAACUGCGGGAAACUGUAGCUAAUACCGGAUACGACCCUCGGAGGCAUCUCCUGGGGGUGGAAAGAAUUUCGGUCAAGGAUGGACUCGCGGCCUAUCAGCUAGUUGGUGAGGUAAAGGCUCACCAAGGCGACGACGGGUAGCCGGGCUGGGAGGGUGACCGGCCACACUGGGACUGAGACACGGCCCAGACUCCUACGGGAGGCAGCAGUGGGGAAUAUUGCUCAAUGGGCGCAAGCCUGAUGCAGCAACGCCGCGUGAGGGAUGAUGGCCUUCGGGUUGUAAACCUCUUUUAGCAGGGAAGAAGCGAAAGUGACGGUACCUGCAGAAAAAGCACCGGCUAACUACGUGCCAGCCGCCGCGGUAA